rnacentral:rRNA from 1 species
GACGAACGCUGGCGGCGUGCCUAAUACAUGCAAGUCGAGCGAAGAGCGACGGAACUUUGCCUCUAUCAAUCUUCGUCGCGCGGGUGAGUGUCACGUGGAAUCACUCUGUAUUAGAGAGGGGGACCAUAGGUGAACACGAGCGCUUACCGCAUAAAAGAUUUAACCUCGGCAUUGAGGAUUGAAGAAAGGUGUUCCCUACAUGUAAGCUAUCACUGAAGGAGGGUAACGCGUCUGAUUAGCUAGUUGGCGAGGUAACGGCCCACCAAGGCCAUGAUCAGUAGCCGGUCUGAGAGGAUGAACCGCCACAAUGGGACUGAGACACCGCCCAAACUCCUACGGGAGGCAGCAGUUGGGAAUCUUCCGCAAUGGACGAAAGUCUGACCGAGCAACGCCGCGUGAGGGAAGAAGGGUUUCGGGUUGUAAAGCUCCGUUAAUCGGGAAGAAAGGCCUUCUUACGAAAAGUUGCAAGGAUUGACGGUACCUAAAUAGAAAGCCACGGCUAACUACGUG